rnacentral:lncRNA from 1 species
CUCAUUAGGGCCCCGCCAAAGGCGGGUCGCCCUAUAGUGAUCAGUCUGUCCGUCCGUAACACUUUGUGUCCGCUCCAUAUCUAGAGAACCAUUAUGAUUUCAUACUUUAUACUUUACAUGUUUAUUAACCAGCACCAGAGGGCGUGUCAUGAUGUAUGUACAACUUCCUAGGUCAAAGGUCAAGGUCAAAAAACUUUGGUUUCAGUUGACAACCCUGUGUCCUGUGGUGAAGAUCGUGUCCGCUCUAUAUCUUGAGAACCGUUAUGAUUAUUUCAAAGUUUAUACUUGACAUGUAUAUGAACCAACACCAGAGGGUGUGUCAUAAUUUAUGAACAACUGCCUAGGGCAAAGUUCAAGGUCAGAAACUUUGGUUUCAGUUGACAACCCAUGUCCUAUGGUAAAGAUUGUGUCCGCUCUAUAUCUUGAGAACCAAGUUUAUACCUGAAAUGUAUAUAAACCAAUAUCAGAGGGUAUGUCAUAAUUUAUGUACAACUUCCUAGGUCAAAGGUCAAGGUCAAAAACUUUGGUUUCAGUUGACAACCCCAUGUCCUAUGGUAAAGAUCGUGUCCGCUCUAUAUCUUGAGAACCGUUAUCAUUUCAAAGUUUAUACUUGACAUGUAUAUAAACCAACACCAAAGGGUGUGUCAUAAUUUAUGUG